rnacentral:rRNA from 1 species
GCUUGUCUCAAAGAUUAAGCCAUGCAUGUCUAAGUACAAGCCUCAGUAAGGUGAAACCGCGAAUGGCUCAUUAAAUCACACCUAAUCUACUGGAAAGUUACUAGUUACUUGGAUAACCGUAGUAAUUCUAGAGCUAAUACAUGCGUCAAACCUCGACUUCUGGGAGAGGUGUAUUUAUUAGAUGGAAACCAAUGCGGGGCAACCCGGUAUAUGGUGAUUCAUAAUAACUUUCGGAUCGAUCUUCGGAUCGAUGCAUCAUUCAAGUUUCUGCCCUAUCAGCUUUGGAUGGUAGGGUAUUGGCCUACCAUGGCUUUAACGGGUAACGGAGAAUUAGGGUUCGAUUCCGGAGAGGGAGCCUGAGAAAUGGCUACCACAUCCAAGGAAGGCAGCAGG